rnacentral:rRNA from 1 species
AUACGUAGGGAGCGAGCGUUAUCCGGAUUUAUUGGGUUUAAAGGGUGCGUAGGCGGGCUGUCAAGUCUGUGGUGAAAAGUCAGGGCUUAACCUUGAUCGUGCCGCGGAAACUGACGGUCUUGAAUAGGGAUGCCGUUGGCGGAAUGUGGAGUGUAGCGGUGAAAUGCAUAGAUAUUCCACAGAACACCGAUUGCGAAGGCAGCUGACGAAGCACCGAUUGACGCUGAUGCACGAAAGUGCGGGUAUCGAACAGGAUUAGAUACCCUGGUAGUCCGCACAGUAAACGAUGAUAACUAGUUGUUGGCGAUAAACAGAUCAGUAACUGAGCGAAAGCGUUAAGUUAUCCACCUGGGGAGUACGACCGCAAGGUAAAAACUCAAAUGAAUUGGCGGGG